GAGCCUUGAUUACAUAGAAGAUAAUGCUACAGUUUUUCAUGCCUACUAUCUCUCUGCAGUAGCUAAUGCCGAAAUAAAAAACUCGGUGGCUUUGGGUCAUUUCAUUCUUCCUCCUGCGUGCCUGCAAAAAGAAAUAAGAAGAAAAAUUGGUAGUUUUAUUUGGGAACAAGACCAACAUUUUCUGAUAGAAAAGCAUGAUGAAGUAACACCAAAUGAAAUAAAGACCCUUAGGGAAAACAGUGAACUAGCAACGGAGCACAAAAAAGAAUUAUCUGAAAG